GGACGCCCUGAUCCCGCCGGCCGCGAUCCAUCGCGCCGCUCGCCGGUUCGCUGGGGAGCAGGGGACUCAGCGCUGGUUCGCUUGUCCGAGCUGUGAAGCGACGGCCUCCAGUCUGGGUUUUCUGGAGUCCUUCCACCUUGCAGUUUCCAGUUCUCCCCAGGAUUUGGGUCGGACGCAAAGUCCCCUUUGUUCUCAGAGCUCGGUGGGCUCCGGGCCUGAGAUUGCAAGCUCUCGUUCCUCUGGUUCGAGCGCUUCCGCGUGAAGAGGCGGACCAGCAAGGCAGGCGCGGCCCGAGGGACGCUGGUGGGGAACGCCAGGGGCUGGAGCUUAAUGCGCCCCGAGGACACAAGUCGGUGCUUCCAGCCACAGUGACUCAGCGCUGUGCAGGGAAAACAGACGCGGUGCCGGCUGACGUCGGUAUUCAGGGGGCUCAGGCCGUCAUUCAGCAAUUUCUUUGUGCAUCUUGGAGGAAAAAAGAAGUGUAAGGCCCCGUGUCUGUCUUCAAGGAGCUCACUCUCUAAAGGCAGUGGCUGACCCUAAACAUGAUGUAGUCAGUGUCCCAGAGGAAAGCACCGGUGGACCCCAAAAGCCUCUGAGUAUCGAGGAGGACUAUUCUGGUUUCAGCAUCGAAAGUCCUGUAUUUCAAGAAAUUCCUCAGUCCAGGGCAAACUGGAACAGUUGGUCAUCCUGGGAGGAGGGACAGUGACUAAUUUCCUUGGAGGUAAGAGGGCAUUGAGGUCUCUGGGCUCAGCCUUGAAGCUCAUUUCCCUUUAGGGUAUGACAGAAAAUGGUGGCCUCACAUAUUUUCUGCUCCAGCCCUGAGGAACAGCAUCUAAGUUUCUCGAGAGUGUGGGAGGCUGGUACAAAGAAGUGUGGUCCUGGGCCUGCUGUGGGAGGAGAAAGUAUAAGUGACAGUGGUGGGGAAAGAGCCUGGAACAGCAGCCUCCGUGGCCAGCUCUGAGGCCAAGCCCAGAAGCUGAGGGGAAGCAGCACUGAGUCAGAGGAAGACUGAGGCCGCCAGGUGUUGGAGUUCAGGGCAGCAGUGGCCUCUGAACCCAGAACAAUGGACUGAUCAAAGUGCAAAGGGACAGACAAGGCAAAGGGACCUUCAGAGUUUCUGAGCCCUGUGCCCUGUAGCUCACAUGCUCCUUUCCCUGGGGGCAGAACAGGGUGAGAGCGGAGAACAAUGGAAUCCGGAAGAAACACAGUGUCCUUUUGUUGCUCCAGCCCUCUCUUAGGCAACCCUCUGUCCAAGUUAGGGAAAUCCGCCCUGGAAUUUUAACCUGAGAUCUUCAUGUUUAGUUUAUCCCAGACCCAACACCUGAGCUCACAUGCCCAAUUUUGUGUAUAUAGUCAAGUGCUGCUUAACAACGUUUUGGUCAAUGAGGGGCCGCAUACAUGACUGUGGUCCCAUAAAAUUAAUACCACAUAGCCCAGGUGUGUGGUAGGCUAUACCAUCCAGGUUUGUGUAAGUACACUCUGCAAUGUUUGCAUGACAAGGAAAUCACCUAACAACACAUUUCUUAGAAUGUGUCCCUGUCGUUAAGCAAUAUGUGACUUUAUUAGCAUCUUCUCAGGAAAACAGCAUUCAUCAACAUCUUGAAGUUAAGACCAGAAACAGAUUAAGAAACACUAGGCUAAGUGGUUACUAAGGUCUUUGUUUUCAUAUUCUAUGAUCCUUUGAUAAUACUCAAGGUAAUUUAUAAAGAAGAUCAUAACGGAAGUGGGUGUCAGGGUCCAAGAAGCCCAAGAACUAUCACUUUGAGAAAUACGCUAAAUAUUAAUAUCACAAAAUACAAAACAGCUUUCUCUGUUGUGAAAGGGGAUCUGUGAUGGUUAAUUUUACUUGUUAACUUGGCUAUGCUAGUGGAGACACUUUAUGGGUGCCCAGUUGUUUGGUCAAACUGUCUAGAUGUUGCCUUGACGUAUUUUUCAGAUGUGAUUUGUCGACAAAAAUAAUCCAUAACCAAUCUAUAAAUGAAAAUUUGGGUGAGU
ensembl:lncRNA